rnacentral:rRNA from 1 species
GACGGAGGAUGCAAGCGUUAUCCGGAAUGAUUGGGCGUAAAGCGUCCGCAGGUGGCAGUUCAAGUCUGCUGUCAAAGACCGGGGCUUAACUUCGGAAAGGCAGUGGAAACUGAACAGCUAGAGUAUGGUAGGGGCAGAGGGAAUUCCUGGUGUAGCGGUGAAAUGCGUAGAGAUCAGGAAGAACAUCGGUGGCGAAGGCGCUCUGCUGGACCAUAACUGACAUUCAGGGACGAAAGCUAGGGGAGCGAAUGGG